AGCGUACACGGUGGAUGCCCUGGCAGUCAGAGGCGAUGAAGGACGUGCUAAUCUGCGAUAAGCGUCGGUGAGGUGAUAUGAACCGUUAUAACCGGCGAUUUCCGAAUGGGGAAACCCAGUGUGUUUCGACACACUAUCAUUAACUGAAUCCAUAGGUUAAUGAGGCGAACCGGGGGAACUGAAACAUCUAAGUACCCCGAGGAAAAGAAAUCAACCGAGAUUCCCCCAGUAGCGGCGAGCGAACGGGGAGCAGCCCAGAGCCUGAAUCAGUGUGUGUGUUAGUGGAAGCGUCUGGAAAGGCGCGCGAUACAGGGUGACAGCCCCGUACACAAAAAUGCACAUACUGUGAGCUCGAUGAGUAGGGCGGGACACGAGGUAUCCUGUCUGAAUAUGGGGGGACCAUCCUCCAAGGCUAAAUACUCCUGACUGACCGAUAGUGAACCAGUACCGUGAGGGAAAGGCGAAAAGAACCCCGGCGAGGGGAGUGAAAAAGAACCUGAAACCGUGUACGUACAAGCAGUGGGAGCCUCUUAAUGGGGUGACUGCGUACCUUUUGUAUAAUGGGUCAGCGACUUAUAUUCUGUAGCAAGGUUAACCGAAUAGGGGAGCCGAAGGGAAACCGAGUCUUAACUGGGCGUUAAGUUGCAGGGUAUAGACCCGAAACCCGGUGAUCUAGCCAUGGGCAGGUUGAAGGUUGGGUAACACUAACUGGAGGACCGAACCGACUAAUGUUGAAAAAUUAGCGGAUGACUUGUGGCUGGGGGUGAAAGGCCAAUCAAACCGGGAGAUAGCUGGUUCUCCCCGAAAGCUAUUUAGGUAGCGCCUCGUGAAUUCAUCUCCGGGGGUAGAGCACUGUUUCGGCAAGGGGGUCAUCCCGACUUACCAACCCGAUGCAAACUGCGAAUACCGGAGAAUGUUAUCACGGGAGACACACGGCGGGUGCUAACGUCCGUCGUGAAGAGGGAAACAACCCAGACCGCCAGCUAAGGUCCCAAAGUCAUGGUUAAGUGGGAAACGAUGUGGGAAGGCCCAGACAGCCAGGAUGUUGGCUUAGAAGCAGCCAUCAUUUAAAGAAAGCGUAAUAGCUCACUGGUCGAGUCGGCCUGCGCGGAAGAUGUAACGGGGCUAAACCAUGCACCGAAGCUGCGGCAGCGACACUAUGUGUUGUUGGGUAGGGGAGCGUUCUGUAAGCCUGUGAAGGUGGCCUGUGAGGGUUGCUGGAGGUAUCAGAAGUGCGAAUGCUGACAUAAGUAACGAUAAAGCGGGUGAAAAGCCCGCUCGCCGGAAGACCAAGGGUUCCUGUCCAACGUUAAUCGGGGCAGGGUGAGUCGACCCCUAAGGCGAGGCCGAAAGGCGUAGUCGAUGGGAAACAGGUUAAUAUUCCUGUACUUGGUGUUACUGCGAAGGGGGGACGGAGAAGGCUAUGUUGGCCGGGCGACGGUUGUCCCGGUUUAAGCGUGUAGGCUGGUUUUCCAGGCAAAUCCGGAAAAUCAAGGCUGAGGCGUGAUGACGAGGCACUACGGUGCUGAAGCGACAAAUGCCCUGCUUCCAGGAAAAGCCUCUAAGCAUCAGGUAACAUUAAAUCGUACCCCAAACCGACACAGGUGGUCAGGUAGAGAAUACCAAGGCGCUUGAGAGAACUCGGGUGAAGGAACUAGGCAAAAUGGUGCCGUAACUUCGGGAGAAGGCACGCUGAUAUGUAGGUGAAGCGACUUGCUCGUGGAGCUGAAAUCAGUCGAAGAUACCAGCUGGCUGCAACUGUUUAUUAAAAACACAGCACUGUGCAAACACGAAAGUGGACGUAUACGGUGUGACGCCUGCCCGGUGCCGGAAGGUUAAUUGAUGGGGUUAGCGGCAACGCGAAGCUCUUGAUCGAAGCCCCGGUAAACGGCGGCCGUAACUAUAACGGUCCUAAGGUAGCGAAAUUCCUUGUCGGGUAAGUUCCGACCUGCACGAAUGGCGUAAUGAUGGCCAGGCUGUCUCCACCCGAGACUCAGUGAAAUUGAACUCGCUGUGAAGAUGCAGUGUACCCGCGGCAAGACGGAAAGACCCCGUGAACCUUUACUAUAGCUUGACACUGAACAUUGAGCCUUGAUGUGUAGGAUAGGUGGGAGGCUUUGAAGUGUGGACGCCAGUCUGCAUGGAGCCGACCUUGAAAUACCACCCUUUAAUGUUUGAUGUUCUAACGUGGGCCCCUUACCGGGGUUGCGGACAGUGUCUGGUGGGUAGUUUGACUGGGGCGGUCUCCUCCUAAAGAGUAACGGAGGAGCACGAAGGUUGGCUAAUCCUGGUCGGACAUCAGGAGGUUAGUGCAAUGGCAUAAGCCAGCUUGACUGCGAGCGUGACGGCGCGAGCAGGUGCGAAAGCAGGUCAUAGUGAUCCGGUGGUUCUGAAUGGAAGGGCCAUCGCUCAACGGAUAAAAGGUACUCCGGGGAUAACAGGCUGAUACCGCCCAAGAGUUCAUAUCGACGGCGGUGUUUGGCACCUCGAUGUCGGCUCAUCACAUCCUGGGGCUGAAGUAGGUCCCAAGGGUAUGGCUGUUCGCCAUUUAAAGUGGUACGCGAGCUGGGUUUAGAACGUCGUGAGACAGUUCGGUCCCUAUCUGCCGUGGGCGCUGGAGAACUGAGGGGGGCUGCUCCUAGUACGAGAGGACCGGAGUGGACGCAUCACUGGUGUUCGGGUUGUCAUGCCAAUGGCACUGCCCGGUAGCUAAAUGCGGAAGAGAUAAGUGCUGAAAGCAUCUAAGCACGAAACUUGCCCCGAGAUGAGUUCU
rnacentral:rRNA from 1 species